UACUGAAAAACCACAACAUACAGAUUCAUCUGAUUCAAUAGUGGCAGUAGCAUCAACGUCCACACAUUCACAGUGUGACACAAAACAAAAGAAAUAUUCACUUCAUGAUAAGAACUAUGACUUAGAAAGAAUUUUAAAAGAUUCAGUUAUAGGACAAACUGUUCUAUCUGCAUAUCAAUCUCAAGGAGAAUUAGAUGAAAAGCACAGGAACAUUUUAGCUGAUAUUAUUGUAAAUGUAGAACUUAAAGAUAAUUUAGAUGCUAGAGUUACAUCUGAACGUGCAAGUUUUUUAGCAGAAAAAAUAAUACAAUUAUUUCCA